rnacentral:rRNA from 1 species
UACGGAGGGUGCAAGCGUUAUCCGGAUUCACUGGGUUUAAAGGGUGCGUAGGUGGGCAGGUAAGUCAGUGGUGAAAUCUCCGGGCUUAACCCGGAACUGCCGUUGAUACUAUCUGUCUUGAAUGUAGUGGAGGUGAGCGGAAUAUGUCAUGUAGCGGUGAAAUGCUUAGAUAUGACAUAGAACAUCGAUUGCGAAGGCAGCUCGCUACACUAUGAUUGACACUGAGGCACGAAAGCGUGGGAUCAAACAGG